GCGCUCACUUUGGCAGUACAUAUACUAAAAAUGGAACAAUACGGAGAAGAUGAGCAUGACCCCUGCGCAAGGAUGACAAGGGAAAAAAAAGAAGAGGAAGAAAUCUUA